GAAACGCGAUAGUUAAUGUGAAUUGCAGAAUUCAGUGAAUCAUCGAGUCUUUGAACGCACAUUGCGCCCAUAGGUAUUCCUUUGGGCAUGUCUGUUUGAGCGUCAUUACAACCCUCAGCUAACCGCUGGUUUUGAACCUGAACGGGUGACACCGCGCCGGUUUUAAAGUUGUAAGCUCCGCUGGCCGCUCUGCCCAACCAGAACAUAGUAAGCACUACUUGUCCGGGUGAAGCUGAACGGUACGGCCUGAACAAAACCUACCCACUCUCAAGGUUUGACCUCAGAUCAGACAAGGAUACCCGCUGAACUUAAGC
rnacentral:misc_RNA from 1 species